GCCAACAUUCUCAUGGCUGGCGACUCACCUCGUGCGGACGAUUCCUCGUUCAUUGCUUAUUUUAAUCGAAAUUACAAGAAUACCCUUUGAUUCUCCUAUUAAAGAGGCGUCACUUAGCUCGUCGCCGUUGCUUUCCUGCCUCAGCUUCUAGAACCGGUCAUGGAGUUCAUCUGCCCUAACGCCUCCAUAGUAUGGGAUGUAAAAGGAUUUACACCAUGCUUCGAGAAUAUGAUAUUAGGGUUCGGAUCAAAUAUGGUGAUUAUACUCGCGGUUCUCAUUCUUGCAGGGGCUCAGAGGAAUUGUGAACGAUAUAAUGAUAUGAGGGUAGACCACAAGAAACUGCUUGUUUUACAGAUUGUGUCUUGCUGUGGGGCUUUCCUUGCUUUAAUUGAGCUAUCCUUGCUAAUGAAGAACACUAUCGAAGGCAAUCUUACUGGGAGUCAUUAUUGGUUUUAUCAAAUCUCUCUGCUUUUUUAUUGGAUUGUGAUUCUUCUAGUUUCAAGAUUGGAGCACUGGUUCUAUGUGCUUUGCAAUAAUAUCUUGUGCUUUUGUUGGAUCAUAAAACCUCUCGUGCAAAUACCUCAUUUUCUGAGGAGUUUAUUAUCAAGAAAGGUGAUAAUAUGCAUUUCUGAAGGUUCUUUGUUCUCAGCGGAACUCAUGUUUGGUCUCAUUAUCAUUGUGAUCCGAUUUACAUGCCUCACCGAGAAAAAGAGGGAAGUUAAUUCUGUCAAAGAUUCUCUUCUUUCAUUCCAUACAGAGAUUAAAGAAGGGCAAACAGAAUAUCUGGAUGGGAAAUCUGGCAGCUUUUGCCAGCUUUUUAUGUUCAAAUUUGUCAACACGAUGAUGGAUGUUGGUGUGAGAAAGCAACUUGACUUUGAAGAUCUAGUUCCGUUGCCUAGUGAGCUCAUGCCUUCUUUAUGCCAUACCCUGAUGUUGGAUUGCUGGGUAGCUGAAAAAAAUAAGCAUGGCUCACAUCUUCUGUUUAAAGCCAUGUACAAUGCAUAUGGUUGGCAUUACUUGCGUUUGGGUUUGCUAAAGGCAUUAAACGAUGGUGUUGGCUUUAUUACUCCAUUGCUCCUUAACAAGCUUAUCAGAUAUCUGCAACAAGGUUCUAAUAGUACAGAGGGAUAUAUUCUCGCACUAUCUAUGGGGCUUACUUCCAUUUUCAAGUCUUUUCUUGAUACACAGUACUCUUUCCGUCUAAUGAAAUUGAAGUUGAUGCUAAGAUCAAGCAUAAUGACCAUAAUCUACCACAAGUGCCUAAAUAUUAGUCUGGCUGAGCGCUCAACAUUUUCUGAUGGUGAAAUUCAAACAUUCAUGUCUGUUGAUGCAGACAGGACUGUCAACUUAUGUAAUAGCAUUCAUGAUGCAUGGAGCUUGCCUUUGCAGAUUGGUGUGGCUCUGUAUCUUUUGUACACGCAGGUCAGUUUUGCAUUCAUAUCUGGAGUCACGAUAACUGUGUUGCUUAUACCAGUGAAUAAAUGGAUUUCUAAGCUGAUAGCAAGUGCGACAGAGGAUAUGAUGAAACAAAAGGAUGAGAGAAUUAGGAGUUCUGGAGAACUGUUGACAUACAUUAGAACAAUAAAAAUGUACAGCUGGGAGAGCUUGUUUAGCCAACGUUUGAUGAAGAAGAGGGAUGCAGAAGUUAAACACCUCUCGACUCGGAAGUACAUGGAUGCUUGGUGUGUCUUUUUUUGGGCUACAACUCCAACACUGUUCUCCUUGUUUACUUUUGGUGUCUUUGCAUUAAUGGGGUAUUCAUUAGAUGCUGCUACAGUCUUUACCUGUGUUGCACUUUUCAACACCUUGAUCUCUCCUUUAAAUUCAUUCCCAUGGGUGAUUAAUGGGUUGAUAGAUGCUUUCAUUUCUACUGGGCGUCUGAGCAAAUUUUUGUCCUGUACUGAGAAAAGUUGUAAUAUUAUCAUGGAAUCAAUGUGGCAGAUACAAGGACAGGUUCCUCCAUCAAGUGCUUUAAGAAGAUUGACGAAUAGUAAUAUGCCAACAGCUGUUGCUUUUUUAGAUGCAUGUUCUAUAUGGUCCAACAAUUCCUAUGUGGAGCAAAUGGCUGUCCUUAAUAAUGUGUCUCUUGAAGUUCCAAAUGGCCUUCUUGUUGCUGUAGUUGGUGAGGUUGGUUCAGGCAAGUCAUCCUUGUUGCAUUCAAUUCUCGGAGAGAUGCGUCUCAUUCAGGGAUUAAUUAUUUCUCAAGGAUCAAUAGCAUAUGUGCCACAGGUACCUUGGAUCCUGUCAGGUUCAGUGCGUGAUAAUAUUUUGUUUGGAGAUAACUUCGACACUAAAAGAUACAGAGAAAUAUUACAUGCAUGUGCACUUGAUGUUGAUAUUUCACUUAUGAUUGGGAAUGAUCUAUCAUACAUUGGCGAGAAAGGAAUCAACUUAUCUGGUGGACAACGAAGCCGUCUUGCAUUUGCAAGGGCUGUCUACAGUGACUCUGAUAUUUACUUGCUUGAUGACAUACUCAGUGCAGUUGAUUCUCAAGUUGCAUCAUGGAUUCUUCAUAGGGUAAUCCUAGGCCCUCUGAUGAAUCAGAAGACACGGAUUCUCUGUACUCAUAAUUUUGCAGCAAUUUCUGCAGCUGAUAUAAUUGUAAUCAUGGAUGGAGGACAGCUAAGGUGGGUUGGGACUUCCACUGAUUUCUUGGAAUCUCCACUGUCCAAAAGUUCUCUUCCUAAACAUUCAAGCUUGUCAUCAUUGGAAUUUGUACAAAAUGAAAGCAUGGGAAGCACUUCCAAUGAAAUUGUGUUUGUUCAUCCGGUGGACAACGAACUUAUAGCUGAUUUAGAGAAAGCAAACUCAAAUGAUGAUAUAGAGCUAAGGAAAGAAGGGAAUGUUGAUCUUAGUGUUUACAAAAGUUAUGCUAGGUUUGCAAGCUGGCUGAUUGUUAUACUAAUAUGUAUUUCCGCAAUAUUUAUGCAAGCAUCCCGUAACGGCAAUGACUUAUGGUUAUCCCAUUGGGUCGAUGCCAACAAUGGAACUGAGCAAACAAGAUUUUAUCUGAUUAUACUCUCCAUUUUUGGCGUUAUGAAUUCCAUCUUCACCUUAGCAAGAGCAUUUUCAUUUUCAUAUGGUGGCCUACGUGCUGCAGUUCAGGUGCAUGCUGAGCUUCUAAGUAAGCUUAUCAAUGCACCGGUUUGCUACUUUGACCAAAAUCCAAAUGGGAGAAUACUUAAUAGAUUAUCCUCAGACCUUUAUGCCAUUGAUGAUUCUCUUCCAUUUAUUUUUAAUAUUCUCCUAGCCAAUUUCUUUAGCUUGUUGGGCAUUGUGGCAGUUUUGUCCUAUUCACAGGUCAUGUUCUUGAUAUUGUUGAUUCCUCUGGGUUUUGUAUAUAAAAAACUGCAGUUUUACUACAGGUGCACUUCACGUGAGCUUCGGAGAUUAGACAGUGUUUCUCGCUCACCUAUAUAUUCAUCUUUCACAGAAACAUUGGAUGGUUCAUGUACUAUAAGGGCGUUUAAGAAAGAGGAAAUCUUCAUGGCAAGAUUCUUGGACCUUGUCCAGUUGUAUCAGCAAACUACCUAUUCUGAACAAACAGCAAGUUUAUGGCUUUCUUUGCGCCUCCAAUUGUUGUCAGCUUCAGUAAUAUUAUUUAUUGGAGUGAUGGCUGUCAUUGGUCAUGGACAUGAUUUUUCACUUACCUUGGAUACACCUGGUCUGGUAGGAUUGGCCCUAUCUUAUGCUGCACCAAUAGUGUCAUUGUUGAGCAGUUUUCUUACAAGUUUCACUGAAACAGAGAAAGAAAUGGUAUCUGUUGAGAGAGUGGUUGAGUACAUGGGCAUUCCGCAGGAAGAACUCCAAGGAUCAAAAUCUCUGCCUACUGGGUGGCCACCCCAAGGACUGAUUGAAUUUGACCAUGUUAGUCUUCAAUAUAGACCAUCACUACCAGCAGCUUUGAAGGAUCUUUCUUUUAGUAUUGCAGCAGGCAUGAAGGUGGGAAUUGUUGGGAGAACCGGAGCUGGAAAGUCGAGCUUACUUAAUGCACUUUUCCGCCUUACUCCCAUCUGUAGGGGACGCAUACUAGUAGAUGGUACUGAUAUUGCUGUCUUGGCUCCUAGAGAACUCCGGGAUCGUUUCUCAGUAGUUCCUCAAAGUCCUUUCUUGUUUGAAGGUUUUUUAAGGGAGAACCUUGAUCCAUUUGGCAUGACUUCUGAUGCCAAAAUCUGGGAAGCUCUCGAAAAAUGUCAUAUGAAAGAAGUCAUCGAAACAGCUGGUGGGCUUGGCAUUCAUGUUAAAGAAAAUGGAACAUCAUUUUCAGUUGGUCAACGACAACUCAUAUGUCUUGCUCGUGCAAUCAUUAAAUCCUCCAAGAUACUUUGCUUGGAUGAAUGUACAGCCAGUGUCGACACACAAACGGCUUUAAUUCUGCAAAAUGCCAUCUCCAUUGAUUGCCAGGAUACAACAGUUUUGACAAUUGCACAUCGAAUUUCUACCGUGCUAGAGAUGGAUUGUAUUUUAGUUCUUGACCAUGGCAUCCUGGUUGAGCACGGUAAUCCACGAGAUCUUCUCGAAGAUGAAUGCUCUAGGUUCUCAAAGUUUGCCAAAGCAUCUUCUAUGUAAGCUAGUGAUGCUGCUUCAAAGCCAACGAAUCCCUCUCCUCUACUCUUAAUAAAUCUUUUCCAAAACUGAAACCAAAAGCAACUUCGCAUACAAGAAUCUUUGUGGAAACAUCCUACAAGAUUUUUCUCGAAAUCUAGAGAGAAGGUACCAAGUGUACGGAUGAUAACUAUGCAACAAACCAAUAGAAAGGAAAUGGGAGGUAGCUUUAUCCCACAACGGCCGCAGUUGGAAUCAAGAGACAGGUUCUGGCCUAGUGAAAGAAGCGAGAAGAGGGCAAAUAUUAAUGGUUUUUUAUUACGACACCCUCGAUCAAGAGACAGAUGGAUUAGAAAAUUAAGCCUAGAUCUAGAUCAAGAGAUGGAGGGAUUGGAAAAUUUAAUGUAAUUACCCACUGAUAUGCAUGAAUAAA